AUGAAGCCGACACACUCUUAUAGCAAUCUACAACUAUUUUAUGCUUUUGGGAAAAUGGUGGCUAAUUCAGAUGAUGUAAAAUCUACGGACCUAAGAGGAAGAGCGUUGGAGGACAGCCAUUUUCCAGCCAUUCAGAGAUGGUUCUGUCCUGAUGGGCUGGACACACUGAAGAGUGAACAAUGAUUACAAUAACUGAAGGAGAUCAAAUGAAGUGGCUUUUUAAUUGCAGGAGAGAGGCCAUUAGUGACGCGCCCACGCGGAACCAGCUCUGCUCAGCCAGCGCUACCACAUUCCACUGCAAAUAAACCUAUAUAAAUAAUUAAACAUAAAAAAGCCAAGAAAGACAAUAAAAACAGCAGGGAGAUUCACUCACAGUCCGUAGACGUGAUAAUUACAGAAAAGGGCAAGAUAAAAUGUGGGGACAACAAGACAUGCAAUGGGGUCAGAAGACUAAACAAUGAGCAAGGAGGGUAAACAAAAUGUUCCUGAAGAGUUUACUCUGGUGUCAUCUCCUGUAGGUGUCAACUCUGACAUAUGUGGCAUUUUCCAAAGUUUCCCUUUGUUUACUCUUCAAAGCCUUGCUAAGCUUACAGUUUCACCGAUUCCUUAUUUAUUCUCUCUUUCUUAUGAUAUAAAAUGAGCAUCUUGUGAUCUUUAUUUCCUGAUGUUCUGUAAAUCUAAAAAAUGUGGUGUAAAGACUGCAGCAGUACUGUAAUGGGGGAUAUGCAGUGCCAUCUGUGCUAUGCUUUUGAAGGUCAUUAGCGGGUCCACAUGGAAUCUGUGCACAGAAAACUGCAGAAUUUCACAGAAUUGGAACAUUUGUCUUUCACGAAGAUCUACCACAUGUUUGUUUACUGAAAUGCUUUCAGCUACCGAUAAGAGAUCUAUGCAGAAACUGAAAGAGAAAGAGAGAGAGAGAGAUUCUAUCUGGUUCAGUUUCAGUCAUCACACAUGAAAAAGUUCAAUGAUGUAAAUUACUGCACACAUUUAAAAUAAAAUCCUUGCCUGUGUUGUAUUGUUAAA